rnacentral:lncRNA from 1 species
AAAUGAUAAAUAUAUAUUAAAAAUAGAGAAAACAAGUUUAAUCAUCGCUUCAAUCAAUCUUUUAAAUAAACGAUUUAUGAAUUAAUUAAUCUAACGAAUUAAUAUCCCAAACAAUUCUCAAUUCGCAGAAAUGAAAGUUUAAAAAGUUGUGAAGAGGCAGUCUAAUCUAAUUAUCUCAACAUAGCUUAGUAAGAAAAAUAAAAGAAAAAACCCAAAAGAAAACAAAAAAAUCCUCC